UGAACAGGAGAUUUGAGUUUAAAGUAUGAAAACAAUAUUUCCUGAAAGUCUAAUGGAAGAUGUUUUUUCCUCAGUGAGAUGUAAAGAAAGUAGAUGGUUAGUUGUGGAAGAAAAUUAUUAUUUACAGGCAGAGCACGAAAAAUAUUUUAGAA